rnacentral:rRNA from 1 species
UACGUAGGGUGCAAGCGUUAAUCGGAAUUAUUGGGCGUAAAGCGCACGUAGGCGGCUCGUUAAGUCGGAUGUGAAAUCCCUCGGCUCAACCGAGGAAGUGCAUCCGAAACUGGCGAGCUUGAGUACGGAAGAGGGUCUCGGAAUUCCCGGUGUAGAGGUGAAAUUCGUAGAUAUCGGGAGGAACACCAGUGGCGAAGGCGGCGACCUGGGCCAAUACUGACGCUGAGGUGCGAAAGCGUGGGGAGCAAACAGG